rnacentral:rRNA from 1 species
CUCGUAGGCGGCUUGUCGCGUCUGCUGUGAAAACGCGGGGCUUAACUCCGCGCUUGCAGUGGGUACGGGCAGGCUUGAGUGUAGUAGGGGAGACUGGAAUUCCUGGUGUAGCGGUGGAAUGCGCAGAUAUCAGGAGGAACACCGAUGGCGAAGGCAGGUCUCUGGGCUAUAACUGACGCUGAGGAGCGAAAGCAUGGGGAGCGAACA